CCUCCAGGAAGGCAAGGUCUGGAGCUCACCCAGGACCUCCUAGCCCCUCAGGGAUGUGUGCAAGAGGAGGGACAGGAGUUCCCACACUGAACAAAGUUCUAGGCUCCCAAAGUACAAUCUGAGUUUGG